GACGUAGGGCGCGAGCGUUGUCCGGAUUUAUUGGGCGUAAAGGGCUCGUAGGCGGUCUGUUGCGUCGGGAGUGAAAACUUACAGCUUAACUGUGAGCGUGCUUCCGAUACGGGCAGACUUGAGGUAUUCAGGGGAGAACGGAAUUCCCGGUGUAGCGGUGAAAUGCGCAGAUAUCGGGAGGAACACCUAUGGCGAAGGCAGCUCGCUGGGACGUUACUGACGCUGAGGCGCGAAAGCGUGGGGAGCGAACAGG
rnacentral:rRNA from 1 species